AUGCCUUGGGUGGCGAUUGGCGACUUCAACGAGGCCAUGUGGGGCUUCGAGCACUUCUCCGACACCCCGCGCUCAGUAGGUCAGAUGAUCGAUUUCAGGGAUGUUUUGGAAUUAUGUGGACUUGGAGACCUUGGUUUUGCAGGGCUGCCGUAUACAUUUGAUAACCGGCGGUCCGAACGUGCGAACGUCAAGGUGCGGCUGGACCGUGCGGUGGCGAACAAUGCAUGGCGUGAUUUAUUCAUGGAGGCGGCGGUGCGGCACUUGGUGGCCCCAUCGUCUGAUCACAUACCCAUUCUCCUAAGGUGGGUGGCCGAACCACCUAGGGAGUAUGUGGGCAAGAGGUGCAGGCAUUAUGAGGUGGCUUGGGAACGUGACCCUGCGCUCCCAGAAGUCAUCAUGCAUGCUUGGUCGGCUGCAGGCACGAUGGGCAAUCUUGGUGACAUUGCAUCGGCACUAGGCGAGCUCAUGCAGACGCUGCAAGGGUGGAGAGAGUAUGUGAGAAUAGAAGAUGGUGAACAGAUUGUUGAAGAAAUCGAUUGGCAAAACGGGCUGACAAGCAAACGGGCUAAUUUUUUUGCUGAGCUCGUUGAUCUGAACAUUUUUUCGAAGGUUGGAUAUGUGCCAUCACAAUUGGCUGCUCAGAUGGUAGAUGAUGAUUGGGCUACACAGAGGCCAUUGAUUCCCAUGUGUACUGAACUUACAGUAAUAGCCGAAGAGGGACAGGUGACUGGAACUGAAACUGAAACUGCAGCAACUGUUGAUUGGAAUGUAGUUGAAUUAGAUGAGCCUACUGAUUUGGUCAUUGCACCAAUGCCUGGCAUUGAGAUGGCCAAACUUUUUGGCAUUCCAGUCGAUGACAGAGAUAAGCAGGAGAUGGGCGAAUCUAGUUUGCCUGCUAAUGCUGAUGAUGAAGUAGAUGGACAGUUGAUGGAACAAGCUGCAGAUGAAGUAGAUGAUGCACAUGAUGAUGAGCUGGUGCAUGUGUAUGACAAAGAAAACCCUGUCAUUGAAGUAGGCAAGUUGUUCCCAAGCAUGAAGGUGUUUAGGAUGUGUUUCAAGACUUAUGCAGUGAAACAUGAGUUUGAUGCCAAGACUGUUUGGACUGAUAGAAAGAAGUUUUAUGCGAGGUGCAGAGGAUUUGAUGGUAGUGUGAAGCCUUGCAAGUGAAAGAAGAGAAGUGUGCCUGAGCCUGAGCAGACUGAAGAAAAUCCUGCUGCAGUGAACAUUCAGACUGAAGAAACUGCUCUCGAGGUUGAAACUGAACCUGAGCGUGUCGAGGUUCAGACUGAAGAAAGCCAUGUUGAGGUACACACCGAAGAAACUGAAACUGCUGUCAACAUUGAGGCUGAAGACACUGAUCACGAGGGUGUUGGCGAGGUGUUGAAAAGACCAGUGAAGAAAACCAAGAUGAUCAGUGAACUUGUGUGUGUAGUAGAACCAAAAAAAAGAAGUGCUAAGGCGAAGAAGGGCACGCGACGUGGUAGGAAGAGGUAG
rnacentral:rRNA from 1 species